rnacentral:rRNA from 1 species
GAUGAACGCUAGCUACAGGCUUAACACAUGCAAGUCGAGGGGAAACGACAUCGAAAGCUUGCUUUGAUGGGCGUCGACCGGCGCACGGGUGAGUAACGCGUAUCCAACCUGCCCACCACUUGAGGAUAACCUUGCGAAAGUAAGACUAAUACCCGAUGAUAUCCCUAGACGACAUCUGAAAGGGAUUAAAGAUUUAUCGGUGAUGGAUGGGGAUGCGUCUGAUUAGCUUGUUGGCGGGGUAACGGCCCACCAAGGCAACGAUCAGUAGGGGUUCUGAGAGGAAGGUCCCCCACAUUGGAACUGAGACACGGUCCAAACUCCUACGGGAGGCAGCAGUGAGGAAUAUUGGUCAAUGGGCGAGAGCCUGAACCAGCCAAGUAGCGUGCAGGACGACGGCCCUAUGGGUUGUAAACUGCUUUUAUAAGGGAAUAAAGUGAGUCUCGUGAGACUUUUUGCAUGUACCUUAUGAAUAAGGACCGGCUAAUUCCGUG